AUUGAACGCUGGCGGCAGGCCUAACACAUGCAAGUCGAGCGAGCGGCGGACGGGUGUGUAAUGUAUGGGGACUGCCCGAUAGAGGGGGAUAACUACUGGAAACGGUAGCUAAUACCGCAUACUAUCGGAUAACCCAUAUGGGAUUAGCUCGUAGGUGAGGUAAGGGCUCACCUCGGCGACGAUCCCUAGCUGGUCUGAGCGGAUGAUCAGCCACACUGGAACUGAGACACGGCCCAGACUCCGCCGGAGGCAGCAGUGGGGAAUAUUGCACAAUGGGCGCAAGCCUGAUGUAGCAAUGCCGCGUGUAUGAAGAAGGCCCUCGGGUUGUAAAGUACUUUCAGUCGGGAGGCGUUACCUACAGAAGAAGCACCGGCUAACUCCGUGCCAGCAGCCGCGGUAAUAC
rnacentral:rRNA from 1 species